GAUGAAGAACGCAGCGAAAUGCGAUAAGUAAUGUGAAUUGCAGAAUUCAGUGAAUCAUCGAAUCUUUGAACGCGCAUUGCGCCCGCCAGUAUUCUGGCGGGCAUGCCUGUUCGAGCGUCAUUUCAACCAUCAAGCCCCCGGCUUGUGUUGGGGACCUGCGGCUGCCGCAGGCCCUGAAAAGCAGUGGCGGGCUCGCUGUCACACCGAGCGUAGUAGCAUACAUCUCGCUCUGGGCGUGCUGCGGGUUCCGGCCGUUAAACCACCUUCAUAACCCAAGGUUGACCUCGGAUCAGGUAGGAAGACCCGCUGAACUUAAACAUAUCAAUAAGCGGAGGA
rnacentral:misc_RNA from 1 species